UGGGGAAUUUUGGACAAUGGGGGAAACCCUGAUCCAGCCAUCCCGCGUGUGCGAUGAAGGCCUGCGGGGUGUAAAGCACUUUUGGCAGGAAAGAAACGUCAUGGGUUAAUACCCCGUGAAACUGACGGUACCUGCAGAAUAAGCACCGGCUAACUACGUGCCAGCAGCCGCGGUAAUACGUAGGGUGCAAGCGUUAAUCGGAAUUACUGGGCGUAAAGCGUGCGCAGGCGGUUCGGAAAGAAAGAUGUGAAAUCCCAGAGCUCAACUUUGGAACUGCAUUUUUAACUACCGGGCUAGAGUGUGUCAGAGGGAGGUUGAAUUCCGCGUGUAGCAGUGAAAUGCGUCGAUAUGCGGAGGAACACCGAUGGCGAAGGCAGCCUCCUGGGAUAACACUGACGCUCAUGCACGAAAGCGUGGGGAGCAAACAGG
rnacentral:rRNA from 1 species